UGGGAGUGUUUUAAUGUGUGGAUGGCAGGUUGGGAGUGUUUUAAUGUGUGGAUGGGAGUGUUUUAAUGUGUGGAUGGGAGUGUUUUAAUGUGUGGAUGGGGGUGUUUUAAUGUGUGGAUGGGAGUGUUUUAAUGUGUGGAUGGGAGGAUGGGAGUGUUUUAAUGUGUGGAUGGGAGGAUGGGAGUGCUUUAAUGUGUGGAUGGGAGUGUUUUAAUGUGUGGAUGGGAGUGUUUUAAUGUGUGGAUGGGAGUGUUUUAAUGUGUGGAUGGGAGGUUGGCAGUUUGGGAGUGUUUUAAUGUGUGGGGAGGAGGUUGGGAGUGUUUUUAUGUGUGGAUGGGAGUGUUUUAAUGUUUGGAUGGGAGUGUUUUAAUGUGUGGUUGGGAGUGUUUUAAUGUGUGGAUGGGAGUGUUUUAAUGUGUGGAUGGGAGUGUUUUAAUGUGUGGAUGGGAGUGUUUUAAUGUGUGGAUGGGAGGUUGGCAGGUUGGGAGUGUUUUAAUGUGUGGAUGGCAGUUUGGGAGUGUUUUAAUGUGUGGAUGGGAGGAUGGGAGUGCUUUAAUGUGUGGAUGGGAGUGUUUUAAUGUGUGGAUGGGAGUGUUUUAAUGUGUGGAUGGGAGUGUUUUAAUGUGUGGAUGGGAGUGUUUUAAUGUGUGGAUGGGAGGUUGGCAGGUUGAGAGUGUUUUAAUGUGUGGAUCGGAGGUUGGCAGGUUGGGAGUGUUUUAAUAUGUGGAUGGCAGGUUGGGAUUGUUUUAAUGUGUGGAUGGGAGGUUGGCAGGUUGGUAGUGUUUUAAUGUGUGGAUGGGAGGUUGGCAGGUUGGUAGUGUUUUAAUGUGUGGAUGGGAGGUUGGCAGUUUGGGAGUGUUUUAAUGUGUGGGUGGGAGUGUUUUAAUGUGUGGAUGGGAGUGUUUUAAUGUGUGGUUGGGAGUGUUUUAAUGUGUGGAUGGGAGUGUUUUAAUGUGUGGGUGGGAGUGUUUUAAUGUGUGGAUGGGAGGUUGGCAGGUUGAGAGUGUUUUAAUGUGUGGAUCGGAGGUUGGCAGGUUGGGAGUGUUUAAUAACGUGUGGAUGGGAGUUUGGCAGGUUGGAAGUGUUUUAAUGUGUGGAUGGCAGGUUGGGAGUGUUUUAAUGUGUGGAUGGGAGGUUGGGAGUGUUUUAAUGUGUGGAUGGCAGGUUGGGAGUGUUUUAAUGUGUGGAUGGGAGGUUGGCAGGUUGGUAGUGUUUUAAUGUGUGGAUGGGAGGUUGGCAGGUUGGUAGUGUUUUAAUGUGUGGAUGGCAGGUUGGGAGUGUUUUAAUGUGUGGAUUGCAGGUUGGGAGCGUGUUUAUGUGUGUGUAUGUCUGUGUGUGGCUACAGUCCCCUCUCUCUUAGCUUAGUGUUGGUAUGUCCAGUACCUUAGUGCUAUUUCACUCUGUAUUCUACC
ensembl:lncRNA